GAGUUGUGAGGAUCCUCCUGAUAUUAGCAGUAUCAUGCCGUAGGUGGGUAAAGCUUUGGGUUGUUGUUUUGUGUAUUGUUGGGCUUGGCUUUAGGUUUUUGGUUGGGUAGGUUUGGUGGGGGUAGUGGUAUUUCGUGUAGAGGCUGGGAAGGUGCGAAGCUCGCAGCUUGCGAGGCUUGUUGAGUUUGGGGUUGAAACUGUGGUGAAUGUUGCCACAUCAUGGCAGGUUGAAAGUUUUGAUGUUAGUAUUUGUGUUUGUAUGUGGAUAAGCUUGUAAGUAUAGCUGUUGUGGCUAAAAAGAGGUAUGGUGGAUGGUUUUGGAUGCUGUGGGAGCUCUUUUUUCUUCAGCUAUUCUUUCGAAGGUCUUUUCUGUUUCUAGGCAAAAGUCGGUUGCAUGAUCUAGCUGCUUGCCAUGAAAAGUGCAAUAAAACAUUCGAGGUUGAUUGUUUUGGUUGUGCGGCCUCGAAGGUCCUCUACCUCCGCCUCUUCUUCUUCCUGCGUGACCGCCUCUCUGC
rnacentral:lncRNA from 1 species